UCAGACGAGUAUCCGAUUAUUUUAAGUAGGCUACUGUAAAUCCUUACUGUAUAUGUAUUGUACAUGGUGUAGUACCACAACUCACAAUUAGGUGCAUGGUGUAGUACCACAACUCACAAUUAGGCCAUUCCGGUUCAAAUGCUACCAUGAUAGAAGCCUUUAUAAAUGUGAAAACAUGUAGCAAUGGCGGCUCGUGGAGCCUCUCAAUAGUUCCCGGAAGUAGCAGCAAACACCGUAGAGAUGCAUCAGAACAAACCGUUUGCGACGCACUUUUAAAAGAUUGCUCCUGCUGACUUGAGCCAACAAUUUUUUUCUCCUCUCCAUGUCAGUGGGGAAGCCAUACAUUCGCACACCUUUCUCUGAGCGAUUGGAGCAUCCCCAUGCAGCACAGCAAACCAUGGUGAAGACUAUGCAACGACAACAUGAAAGAAAGGACACAUACAAAAUG